rnacentral:lncRNA from 1 species
UAUUUUCGUCAUUCCUCUCACCUUGUAGCUCAUUUUUUAAUACUAUUUACAUGUAUGGAAAUCUAACGAAAUUACCCUUGUUGGCAUUUCAAUUUCGUCGUAUUUGGAGUUACGAUGUGUUCGGUAGACGAUGUUGAAUUUGAAGAUCACAAGUAGAUUUCUGCAGAAUUAGUAAUUGGACAGACCUUCACUAAAACGGUAAUUAAUCUCUCUCUGUAACUCCAAAUUUAGUGGGGUUUGAUUCUGUGGAAAGAUAACUCGAUUACGGUCAUUUCUGAAGCCAUUUGGUGAAUUAUGGAUCCAAAUUGAGUUGUAUGCGAAGCUUUGAAGUUGUGACUCGAAAGCAGAUUUUUUGCAGAAUUUUGGGAGACAUACCUUCACUAAAACGGUAAUUAAUCUCUCUUUGUAACUCCAAAUUCAGCGGGGUUUGAUUA